AUUGAACGCUGGCGGCAGGCCUAACACAUGCAAGUCGAACGAGUAGCGGAGGGGUGAGUAAUGUCUGGGAAAGUGCGUGAUGGAGGGGGAUAACUACGGGAAACGGUAGAAAAUAGCGCAAACCAUGCUUUGGGCCGAGACGGGAUUAUCUAGUGGGUGGGGUAAUGGCACACCGAGGCGACGAUCCCUAGCGGGUCUGAGAGGAUGACCAGCCACACUGGAACUGAGACACGGUCCAGACUCCUACGGGAGGCAGCAGUGGGGAAUAUUGCACAAUGGGCGAAAGCCUGAUGCAGCCAUGCCGCGUGUGUGAAGAAGGCCUUCGGGUUGUAAAGCACUUUCGGCGAGGAGGCGUUACUCGCAGAAGAAGCACCGGCUAACUCCGUGCCAGCAGCCGCGGUAAUUC
rnacentral:rRNA from 1 species